ensembl:snRNA U6 U6 spliceosomal RNA
GUGUUUUCUUUGGCAGUACAUAUACUAAUAUCGAAACAAUAUAGAGAAGAUUAGCAUGGCCCCUGUGCAAGGAUGACACACAAAUUCACAAAGUGUUCCAUAUUUUU